GAUUGGUUUGCGGGGCUUACGUACAUCAGCACGGGAUGCUACGCAGUGAUGAAAAAAUAUAGUGCGUAUUCAGAAGCUAAAAUAUAGAAAGAUAAAAUCGAUUCUUUGCAAGAAAAUGUCAAAAACUGUGAUAAAUUACUGUUCAAAAGGUAUAAUUUGUGAUUUUAACAUAUCUUUUUUCAGGCAAGUAUCCAUAUACAAGUCGUGUUCAGCUUUAAUUCACAUCAUCUUCAGAAAGUAACAUAUAUUUAAAGAAAUCUGGCCUUCGAUACUUUAAAUUGAUAUUCAUUAAACAUAAACCAAAAUUUCAAUAAGGCUCAUUUCCGCCUACGCUUGCACACAGUAAAUUUUCUUAGAACCAAGCUAGGUUGGCGCUUUUUAGUACUUUCAGUACUUUGAUUAUAGAUACGUCUUUGUUUAAUGACUUUGAUGUCUAAUACAAAAUAUGUGUUACUAGUUUUAGUAUUUGAUGUUUCUUAAGCAAAUAAUUAGUAUUUGAUCUAAAGAUAUCGAGUUGAUUGACAACAAGCUUAAAACAAUGAUUUUAUCUUUUUUAUUUGAGUCUGAUAGUGUCUUUUUAAAUAUAAAUAUGUUGUUUCGCUGUGUUUGUUUCACAUAUCUACACUUCGAUGCAUAAUUGGUUUAGAUGUCAGGUUGUUUUAAUUGGUUUUUUUUUGUCAAAGGAAAUGACACAGGACCGUCCAUAUUGCAUACGCUGUAUUGACAACUUUGGAGAGUGACCUUCUUUUGGAAGUUGUGUACUUGUUUUCUCACAUACCAACUAAUUGUUGAUGCAUUCUUUAUAAAAAUUUGUUGAUUAAGUAAUAAAUAGUUCUCAUUUG
rnacentral:sRNA from 1 species